rnacentral:rRNA from 1 species
GAGUGAAGCGGCAAUAGCUCAAAUUUGAAAUCUGGCGCCUUCGGUGUCCGAGUUGUAAUUUGAAGAAGGUAUCUUUGGUUUUGGCUCUUGUCUAUGUUCCUUGGAACAGGACGUCACAGAGGGUGAGAAUCCCGUGCGAUGAGAUGCCCAAUUCCAUGUAAAGUUCCUUCGACGAGUCGAGUUGUUUGGGAAUGCAGCUCUAAGUGGGUGGUAAAUUCCAUCUAAAGCUAAAUAUUGGCGAGAGACCGAUAGCGAACAAGUACUGUGAAGGAAAGAUGAAAAGAACUUUGAAAAGAGAGUGAAAAAGUACGUGAAAUUGUUGAAAGGGAAGGGCUUGAGAUUAGACUUGGAAUUUUCCAGUAAUGGAGCUUUCCGGGCCAGCAUCAGUUUGGAUGGCAGGAUAAUUGCGUAGGAAAGUAGCACUACUUCGGUGGUGUAUUAUAGACUGCGUCGAUACUGCCUAUCUAGACUGAGGACCGCGUCUUUGACUAGGAUGCUGGCGUAAUGAUCUUAAGCCGCCCGUCUUG